CCUACGGGAGGCAGCAGUGGGGAAUAUUGCGCAAUGGGCGCAAGCCUGACGCAGCGAAGCCGCGUGAGGGAUGAAGGUCUUCGGAUCGUAAAGCUCUAUCAGCAGGGAAGAAAAUGACGGUACCUGACUAAGAAGCCCCGGCUAACGACGUGACAGUAGCCGCGGUAAUACGUAGGGGGCAAGCGUUAUCCGGAUUUACUGGGUGUAAAGGGAGCGUAGACGGUGCAGCAAGUCUGGCGGGAAAGGUCCGGGCCCAACCCCGGGACUGCAUUGGAAACUGGUGAACUGGAGUACAGGAGAGGUAAGCGGAAUGCGUAGUGUAGCGGUGAAAUGCGUAGAUAUUAGGAGGAACACCAGUGGCGAAGGCGGCUUACUGGACUUUAACUGACGUUGAGGCUCGAAAGCGUGGGUAGCAAACAGGAUUAGAUACCCCAGUAGUC
rnacentral:rRNA from 1 species